rnacentral:rRNA from 1 species
CCUACGGGAGGCAGCAGUGGGGAAUAUUGGGCAAUGGAGGCAAGUCUGACCCAGCAACGCCGCGUGAGUGAUGAAGGUCUUCGGAUCGUAAAACUCUUUUCUAAGAGAAGAAGAAAGUGACGGUACCUUAGGAAUAAGCCUCCGCUAACUACGUGCCAGCAGCCGCGGUAAUACGUAGGAGGCAAGCGUUAUCCGGAAUGAUUGGGCGUAAAGGGUGCGUAGGUGGUUUGACAAGUUAGUAGCGCAACUCCGGUGCUCAACCGCGGAACUACUACUGACACUGUGGGACUUGAGUGCAGGAGGGGCAAUCGGAAGUCCUGGUGUAGCGGUGGAAUGCGUAGAUAUUAGGAGGAACACCAGUGGCGAAGGCGGAUUGCUAGACUGUAACUGACACUGAGGCACGAAAGCGUGGGUAGCAAACAGGAUUAGAUACCCGAGUAGUC